CCUACGGGCGGCAGCAGUGGGGAAUAUUGGACAAUGGGCGAAAGCCUGAUCCAGCCAUGCCGCGUGUGUGAAGAAGGCCUUCGGGUUGUAAAGCACUUUCAGUGGGGAAGAAAGCCUUGGGGCUAAUACCCUCGAGGAAGGACAUCACCCACAGAAGAAGCACCGGCUAACUCCGUGCCAGCAGCCGCGGUAAUACGGAGGGUGCGAGCGUUAAUCGGAAUUACUGGGCGUAAAGCGCGCGUAGGCGGUCUGAUAAGCCGGUUGUGAAAGCCCCGGGCUCAACCUGGGAACGGCAUCCGGAACUGUCAGGCUAGAGUGCAGGAGAGGAAGGUAGAAUUCCCGGUGUAGCGGUGAAAUGCGUAGAGAUCGGGAGGAAUACCAGUGGCGAAGGCGGCCUUCUGGACUGACACUGACGCUGAGGUGCGAAAGCGUGGGUAGCAAACAGGAUUAGAUACCCUGGAGUC
rnacentral:rRNA from 1 species